rnacentral:rRNA from 1 species
UACGGGGGGAGCAAGCGUUGUUCGGAUUUACUGGGCGUAAAGGGCGCGUAGGCGGCCACGACAAGUCACUUGUGAAAUCUCCGGGCUUAACUCGGAACGGUCAAGUGAUACUGUCGGGCUAGAGUGCAGAAGGGGCAACUGGAAUUCUCGGUGUAGCGGUGAAAUGCGUAGAUAUCGAGAGGAACACCGGUGGCGAAGGCGGCAUCCUGGACCGGUAUUGACGCUGAGGCGCGAAAGCUAGGGGAGCAAACGGG